ensembl:lncRNA
GGCUAAGCUAGUGGGGGCAAAGUUUCAGUGCAUUCCGUUGAUGUAGACGGCGUGAAAACGGAAACAACAAGUAUGCCGGCUCACUGUGCUGCAUACAGUUACACACUACGUCGUACGAUUGAGACAAGGAAACUUGGAAUGACUUUUCAUAGGUUUCCCAGAGACUAUGGGUUGAGGAGGAAUUGGAAGUUUGUCGGCUUAGACCUGGUGUCAUUCCAUCAGUGUUAAACUUCCCGGUUCAUCUUGGAAGAGUACGUGCCAGAAAGACCACGACCAAGCAGCCUUGAGAUCUUAGGCAGCGUCUCCCUGAGGUCCCUCUCUAUCUCCCCACACAUCCACCAACCACUGGAACACAUCUCCAAAGUUCUGCUGGGCCAGCUCAGCUUCCCCUCAGAAGAAGUGGCGCCACCUGCCAGAUGAAGGAGCUUUUUGAGAGGCAGCUGGCAUCGUGAUUGGACUGUACUUUGGUCUGUUCCAAUCCAGCUUCAGCUCCAGAGACGGCAGGCGGGACGAGUCAACGGAGGCCUGGUGGACGAAGGCAUGCAGCUGAGUACAAUCCAGAAAACAACAGAGGAGGAGUGCAGCAGCCCAGAGCCAGAACAACCAGAGUAGCAUCGUAUGUCCCUUAGAAAACAUCAUAGUAGAGCCUUUGGGAUGAAAAAACACCAUCAUAUACAUCGUAUAUUGUACAAAUAAGUCAAAGGAAAGAGACAUACAUUGUAGAAUUGUAGUAAUUGUGGGCUGACUGAUUUACUGAUUAUCAGUAUUUUAUUUUUUACUGAUUUAUGGUAAUAAAUCAAUUUAAAAUGGUGCUACUUUGGCUCUGAACCUUUAUCUAC